AACGAACGCUGGCGGCACGUUUUAAGCAUGCAAGUCGAACGGGAUCCAGAAGCUUGCUUCUGGUGAGAGUGGCGAACGGGUGAGUAACGCGUAGAUGAUCUGCCUUUCGGUUGGGGAUAGCUCAUGGAAACAUGGGGUAAUACCGAAUGAGCUCAUAGGACUUUGGUUUUAUGAGGAAAGGGGCUUCGGCCUCGCCGAGGGAUGAGUCUGCGUAUGAUUAGCUAGUUGGUGGGGUAAAGGCCUACCAAGGCGACGAUCAUUAGCCGGCCUGAGAGGGUGACCGGCCACAUUGGGACUGAGACACGGCCCAG
rnacentral:rRNA from 1 species